UACGUAGGGGUCUAGCGUUGUCCGGAAUUAUUGGGCGUAAAGCGCGUGUAGGCGGCGUGACAAGUCGGGUGUGAAAGCCCUCAGCUCAACUGAGGAAGUGCGCCCGAAACUGUCGUGCUUGAGUGCCGGAGAGGGUGGCGGAAUUCCCCAAGUAGAGGUGAAAUUCGUAGAUAUGGGGAGGAACACCGGUGGCGAAGGCGGCCACCUGGACGGUAACUGACGCUGAGACGCGAAAGCGCGGGGAGCAAACAGG
rnacentral:rRNA from 1 species